rnacentral:rRNA from 1 species
UACGAAGGGGGCUAGCGUUACUCGGAAUGACUGGGCGUAAAGGGCGCGUAGGCGGUUUGUUUAGUUAGGCGUGAAAUUCCUGGGCUCAACCUGGGGGGCUGCGCUUAAUACAGGCAGACUAGAGUGUGGGAUGGGUAAGUGGAAUUCCUGGUGUAGCGGUGAAAUGCGUAGAUAUCAGGAGGAACACCGGUGGUGUAGACGGCUUACUGGACCAUAACUGACGCUGAGACACGAAAGCGUGGGUAGCAAACAGG